rnacentral:lncRNA from 1 species
CUGAACCUGAGUCUUCUCAUCUGUGAAAUGAUCUCCUUAACAGCAUUGAAAGCAUCGGUACUGAAGGGCGAUGCCCACCAGGAGGAACAGCAAUGCUCUUGAAACUAUUUGCUCCCUUUGGACCUUGAUGUGGGUAGUAUCUCUGCUCCUCCCCCCCAACACCCUGCCAACACAUUUAUAAAAUGGCCUUUAUUCAGUCCCCCCUCAUUGGUUUGGCCAUGGCUAUCCCAUGGAAACUGGUGUUGUCAACUUUGUCAACAACUUGAAGUCAGGCUGGCCAUGAAAUGUGUUCAAAGGUUCCUGUCGGGAACAGAAGCUGCC